rnacentral:tRNA from 1 species
AGAAAAAUAAGCUAAAAAAGCUAUUGGAUUCAUAAUUCAAUUAUAAGUACACCUUUUUUUCUA